rnacentral:rRNA from 1 species
CUGCGCCACGAGUGGUGAUCGCGUUUAUUGGGCCUAAAGCGUCCGUAGCUGGAUUAGUAACUCUUUUGUGAAAUUGUCAGGCCUAACCUGACAACGUGCAGAAGAAACUGCUGAUCUUGAGACCGGUGAGAAGUUAGAAGUAUGCCAGGGGGAGCGGUAAAAUGCUAUAAUCCUUGGUAGACUACCUGUGGCAAAGGCGUCUACCUAGAACGGAUCUGACAGUGAGGGACGAAAGCUAGGGGAGCAAACCGGAUUAGAUACCCGAGUAGUCC